CAUAUACUUAAUAUAUUUUAUAUUAUAUUUUCUACUUUUAAAUAGCUUUUAAAUACUUUUCAUAUUUGCUGUAUACUUCUUGUUCACACGCCCCUCGUGGAAAUCAGCUGUAGUUGACGAGGUUAGCGUGGUUAAAUAAAUCUAUCUAUCCAUCUAUGCAGUGCGAAGUAAUUAUAAUAUUAUUACCCUAGAUUAUACUGUUAGUUAUUAUGACUAUUGACUUGGCUGUAUUUCGUGAAAAGGGUCAACGCUGUGCCGCCGAAAAUCGUGGGACAGGCAGGGGUGAUUUGGAUAAACAUAACUAGGAAAGUAAUGUACGUCACAAUGUUGUAAGGAUAAAUUGUCUAGGCAGAGUAUGUAAUAUAAGCAAUUGUAAUACUUGAUUUAAUCGGUCAUUUAAAAGCACUAUAGGAUGCGCGGAGCAGAAGUGCAUCAGUGCUCAACAUUUUUCAUAAAAAUGGUCACGUUUAGUAAACACACAUUUAUAAAUCAAAUCCAUAUUUUUUUCACCAUUAAAGGGAUAGUUUGAGCGAAGAAAACAUUCAUUACACUGAAUAAUGAUAUCAAACUUUCGCCCUAUAUAAACAUUUGCUCAAACUAGUGUCCAGUCCGCUUAAUGUGAAAUUACAGACGCGCGUCAUUUUAAGGCCUAGUAUUGAGGCCCAUUAUAUUAAAGAUUAGCUGUGCUAAACUGGUUUAGUGGUUUUGUAUUAUAAAUACCUUCUUUAAAUUAAAUAAAGU